CAGUGAUGAUAUCUGCCAUUGAAUAACGAAACGCUAUUUAUCAAGGUCCACACAUCUUCUCAUAAAUACUAUAAUCAUAAAUACCACCAUCAGCUUUCAAGCUUUGUGUUUUAAAGUUUAAUAUUAUACUUAAACAGUACUAAAAAAGUUUAACUAUCCCUUUAUUUCAUUUUGUAAGCAGUUUUAGAUUAUUUAGGCAGUCUUUCUGUGAAAAUAUAUUCUACACAUGAGUUCAAUUAUCCUGCAUGAAUAGCUCAAAAUAUUAAAAUUUAAAAUUAACAUAAAAGUUUUGCCUAAAACUGUUUACUGUUCUCCAAUGUAGAAACAUAUCUUUUAAAAUACAUUUAUUAUAUUCCUAGAAAAAGUCUCAAACUUUCUUAAUGCUACCCAAUAUUCAAUAUCAGAAAUCACUUAAAUUAUCUAGCAGCUAGAUUUCAGAUAAGCUUUCUCCUUCCUUUAUACUACCAAUGAAGGAGCACUACAGGCUUAAUGUGUAUUAUUUUGAGAUAUUUUAAAAAUACAAAUCAAACAUUCUCAGUAGAUAAGCUUGGUUUAUGUCAUAGAUGGUCAAAAGCAAUAAACUACAACUCAGAUAUUUUAAGAAAUAAUUUAAAAUUCACCAAUAAUCACAUAGAUAUCCAUUCAUGGAUUGGGCGCUAUUGUAUUUGUCAAGUACAUGAAGAACAAACAAGACACAGAAGGAUAAAGUGUGGCAUAUUAAGUUAGAAAAAGACAUUUUAAAACAUCACUCCAAUGGGGAAUUUGGAAAUCUCAGUGGGAAUUACAUUCAUUAUAAAGUGGUACAAUAUUUUGAAUGGAACAUGGCCCUAGGAUUAAACAUUUUAACUGUGUCUUCUUUGACUCAGCAGUCACAGUUUUAGAAAUUUUUCAAUGAAGACAAAUUACACAAUUUUGUUAAGACAGGUAAAACUAGGGAGUUAUUUCCAAUUUUUUUUCAGAUUCUUAAGUUGAUUUAUGUAUACAUUUAUUUUCAAUAAUACUUGCACACUGCCCAAUGUCAACUAUACAAAAGUAUGAGGUACAUUAAAAUUCUCAUAUGCUACUGAAAUCCCACUUCUUACUUAAAAGCAGAGUAAUAAUUUGGAGAACAAGUUUUUCAAGGUUUUUAUAGAAGCAUAGCAAUUUUUAAAGAAAAUACUAUUAUAGAAAAAUAUUAUUCUAUAUUUGGUUUUCUCACUUGGCAGUACAUUUUCCUCAAAAUAAAUACAUAAAAAUUGACUUAGAUUGAUUCAUCAUAAUUUAUUCAAUAUUCCCUACUGAUGGCUACUGAGAUUGUAUUUGCUUUUAUUUCAAAUAAAGUAGAAUAAAAAUCCCUAUAGUACAUUAUUUCUAUGGGAUGAUAAUUCCAGUUCUACCAGAUAAGGCCCAGACGAGACACUUACUCAGUGAGAAUGUGCAUUUUAAUAUUUAAAAACGCUGCUAGGCAAAUUCUACAAAGUUUGGAGUGAUAUCCAAUUCCACUGGAUGGAGAUUAUAGUUGUGUUACAAUCUUGGCUUAACUGAAGACGAUAAUUCUUUCAGAUUUCUGUCAAUCCAAUUUUUGUUUUUUAAGAUCUCCGUGUUUCAAUCAUCUCGUUCUCGAUGACUAGUGAAGUGGAACCUAUUUUCAUUAGAAGACCAUUUGCAUUUUCUCUUCUGUGAAUUUUCUGACUAUAUUCCUUGCUGGUUUUUCUUGUGGCCAUUUCAUUCAUUAGCAUGUAUAAUUUUUGGUGUUAAGUAGAAAUACUAAAUUCUUACAUAUCAAACAAAGAUCACAAAUACUGUCAAACCACAUGCAUUUGUCAAUCUGUGAUAAUUUUUGAUCUACCAAAUGGCAAUUAAGGAUAGUUUACUCCAGCAUUUUAUUCUAGCCUAUCAUUUGUCAUUUUUAUGUGCUUAUAGUUCCUUUACCAAAGAAAAUCAAAUAUUAUAUAUACAUAUUAUCUUUAUUUUAAUAUUAGUUUUUAUCUUCAUAUAUAGUGCAAAAUGAGACUCUACUCCUUCUUUCAAAGAGACAGAUGUUCUCAGUUCUUCAAAGUUAUUAAUAAAUUUCAAUUUAUCUGCAAAACUGGAAAAAUUAUUCUAAUCUACAAUACUUUCAUGCUUCCAGAAUUAAUUUAACAGUUAAAAAAUAUUUAAAUAUGUACAAUAAAUUGUUUCUUACUUUUCAUAUUAUAAUUUCUAUGUAAUGUGAAAUGCACAAUGAUUGCUGAUUAAAUUUAAAUUUUAUAAAACCAUAAUAUUAGCAGAAAUUAUAUUAAAUAUUCUAAAUGAUUAUUUGCCCUAAAGUUAAAAUACCAUUUGAAGUGGGAAAACGGUACCGACGACUAUGCCCCCUUUUCUUAUGGAACUGCCUCUUUAUAUUUCAGUGGAUCAGGUGAUGGCCCUACCCUCUGCCUCUUUGACUUAUGAAGCCUUUACUCAGCAUAGAGUAUACUGUGCCAUCACUGUCACUUGUCUGUAAGGCAUCAUGAAGACCAUCUCUGUCAUUUUUUCAAACAGCCUUCGAGUUUUAAAAUAACACCACUUGGAAGUAACCUAUUUCCAAGCACAAACCAAAGUUCAGGCUCUUAAAUUAGAUGGUUAUUCGGUGAUUCAGACUACGUUGCUGAAUUUUAUAAUUCAAAUUAAAACAAAGAAUACAAUGGAAACUUAAUAUAGAGAACUUCUGGAAGCAUGGGAAUAAGCUUAGAGGACACUGUAGAAUACUGAUAUAUGUAUGGGCCUCUUUCUCAUUACCCUUCACAAAGGUACAAUUGUGUAGCUACAAACCAGAGUGAAAAGAGGACCCCAUGCAUUUUACCCUACUAACAAUGCAGACACACCACUAGAUGAUCUCUAACCAUGAUCCUCUCAGAAACCCUACAGAUUCAAAUUAGUUAUGACCAUUUAACAGAGAUCAAAUUGAAGCUCAGAGAAAUAUUAAUAAUUCCCAUAAAUUGCACAAUUAUUAUGCAGGAGACUAAGGUUUCACAUCUAAGUGCAUGUUUCCAAAGCCCCUACUCCUACCCCUGCAGCAAUGACUUUCAGGUGAGUGUGCUACUUUCCUGGUUUCAGCUCACUGCAUAUGGCUUCAAUUCACUGUUCUCAUUUUGCUGAAAAAUGUUAGAGGCAAACACCUUACUGAAAGAAAUAUUCCUAUGACAGUCAAUUAAAAUUCCAAAGAUCUUUAAAGAUCCUGCCAAUAAUUUUUUUUCCCAUACAUGGUUGCGAAAAAAUUAAAACAUUCUUUGUCAUAAUUAAUAGCAAUAUGAUUACACAGAUGGACUAAACAUACAGAGGCACAAAGCAAAACGACAUAAAUGUAGAAACAAAAAAAUUGGGGAGGAUCAGACUGGCAUGUUUAAUUCCUUGAAUUUUAACUAAAUUGGAUUCAGUGAUACUUUCAGCAAAACUCCCUCCUGCUUUACACCAGAAAGCAGAUGGAGGCAGAUUGCAUCAUGAGUUCAGUCCUUUCAAAUUACAAUAGUUUAUGAUGCUCAUCUGCAUUUUAAUCAGAUACAAAGGAUUUAUUCCUGAAAUGCAUGAAGGGAGCCUAUUUUCAGCACCUGGAAAUGCAUCAGAGGUUUUAUAGCCAAUAGAGUAAAAUAUGUUGUACAUUUUUACUUUGUAUCUAUUUCUCUUGUAUAUGUUACACAGAUAGAGGUGUCAGCAGUUUUAUUAAAAGCUGUGCAUAAUCUAUUCAAGAUAUCCUUUAAAGAUAAGGAUGGAGAGGUAAUUUUAUACUCAAAAAUCAUUUUUAUUAGGACUUAGCUCGUGUUUUAAAAUGAGUUAAAUUUGUCAUUUUAUUUAAUAAAAUGAAGUAUGUUUACUCUAAUAACAAAGAGCACAUUCAGCAAGUUGGAGUUUACUGCAAUCUUCUUUAGAUCACAUACAAACUGGUCAGCAAGCACCAAGACCUUGGAAAUUAAAAUUAUACACAAGAACAGUAUUUUGUGGCCAAGUUGUAUUCUGUGGUCAUAUUUUUGUGGCAUGGUAUUUUCUGUCACAUCUAUGAUAAAAGUUUUUUAUUUCACUUUUCAGAGGAAACACAGAUAUUUCAAUGUUUACGCUGUUUGUUAACUUAUGUGAGUCAUGGGACAUCUUCACAAGAAACACUUUUCUUAUUGUGGAAUCCAAAAAGGAGGAAACAGAGAAAAUGGCAGAAAAUUUAUUUAAAGAAACCAAGCCAAAUACUUCCAAAAGUUGAAAAGAGAUAAGACAUUCAGGCACAUAAGACAUACUACCCCAUACAGAUUUGACCGAAAGAAGACUCCUCUGAGACACAUGGAUACAUGAUAAUAAAACUCUUCAAAGACAAGGAGAGAAUUUUGAAUUAAGCAACAGGCAAAAACAAAACAAAACAAAACAAAAAAAUCUUAUUCACACAAUGAAAUCCCUGUACUGCUAUCAAUAGACUUAGGUAAAACCUUGAGUUCCCAUUGUGGCAGAGCGAAAAUGAAUCCAACUAGGAACAAUGAGGUUGCCGGUUUGAUCCCUGGCCUUGCUCAGUGGAUUGAGGAUCUGGCAUUGCUGUGGGCUCUGGUGUAGGUUGCAGACACAGCUUGGAUCCCAUGUUGCUGAGGCUCUGGAGUAGUCUGGGGGCUACAGUUCUGACUGGACCCCUAUCCUGGGAACCUCCAUAUGCCAUGAGAGCAGCACAAGAAAAGGCAAAAAGACAAAAAAUAAAUAAAUAAAUAAAUUUGCCAACCAAGAAUACUUUACCUGGCAAAAGUGUCCUACAAAGAUAAAGGAGAGAAAUAUUUUUACAGACAAACAAAGCAGAAAGAGAUUAUUACCACUAAACCUGUCCUAUAAGAAAUACUAAAGGGAGUUCCUCAAGCUGAAAUGAAAUGAUGCUAAUCAUGAAAACACGCUAAAAUGAAAACACAUUAAGGUAUAAAUUACACUAGCAGAAGGUAUACAUAUGGUCAAAUUCAGAGUAUUUUAAUACUAUAACAUUAUGGUAGAAUGUAAGUCACUUUACUUCAAAUAUUAAAAGAUAAAAGUAUUACAAUUAACUAUGGCUGCAAUAAUUUAGUUGAUACACAGUCUAAAAAUAUGUACAUUUUUUUGGAUGUACAUAUCUAAAAAUAUGUA
rnacentral:lncRNA from 1 species